rnacentral:rRNA from 1 species
AUGGCAGGCGAGGGGCGGCCAGCUAGACCGUUAGCGCCGGCGGAGCCACAGUCACAGCAGCACUACGACGACGUCGACGUCGACGAGCAGCAGCUCGACGAACGGCAGUUCGACGAGCUGUGUCAGCGAUAUGGGCCCUCCCAUCUUUCUGACCGCCUGGCCGCCGCGCCGGCCGUUGCUCAGGAGACGAUCGUCGAGAUCCGUUUCGACAAGGGCUACCCAGAGUUCUCCGACGGCACCAGCUACAACGGCGUCGGGGUGACCAACGCGACAGACGCCGCAAGUGGCGCAGAGACGAAGAUGAGUCGUCAGAUGAGGAACAAGCUGCCCCCUGCCGUCUAA